rnacentral:rRNA from 1 species
GUCUAUGGACAUGCCACCCUGAAGAAGCCCGAUGUCUGAUCUCAGAAGCUAAGCAGGAUUAGGCCUGGUUAGUACUUGGAUGGGAGACCACCUAGGACGACCAGGUGCUGUAGGCA